GAUGAACGCUGGCGGCGUGCCUAAUACAUGCAAGUCGAGCGAACGGACGAGAAGCUUGCUUCUCUGAUGUUAGCGGCGGACGGGUGAGUAACACGUGGAUAACCUACCUAUAAGACUGGGAUAACUUCGGGAAACCGGAGCUAAUACCGGAUAAUAUUUUGAACCGCAUGGUUCAAAAGUGAAAGACGGUCUUGCUGUCACUUAUAGAUGGAUCCGCGCUGCAUUAGCUAGUUGGUAAGGUAACGGCUUACCAAGGCAACGAUGCAUAGCCGACCUGAGAGGGUGAUCGGCCACACUGGAACUGAGACACGGUCCAGACUCCUACGGGAGGCAGCAGUAGGGAAUCUUCCGCAAUGGGCGAAAGCCUGACGGAGCAACGCCGCGUGAGUGAUGAAGGUCUUCGGAUCGUAAAACUCUGUUAUUAGGGAAGAACAUAUGUGUAAGUAACUGUGCACAUCUUGACGGUACCUAAUCAGAAAGCCACGGCUAACUACGUGCCAGCAGCCGCGGUAGUACGUAGGUGGCAAGCGUUAUCCGGAAUUAUUGGGCGUAAAGCGCGCGUAGGCGGUUUUUUAAGUCUGAUGUGAAAGCCCACGGCUCAACCGUGGAGGGUCAUUGGAAACUGGAAAACUUGAGUGCAGAAGAGGAAAGUGGAACUCCAUGUGUAGCGGUGAAAUGCGCAGAGAUAUGGAGGAACACCAGUGGCGAAAGGCGACUUUCUGGUCUGUAACUGACGCUGAUGUGCGAAAGCGUGGGGAUCAAACAGGAUUAGAUACCCUGGUAGUCCACGCCGUAAACGAUGAGUGCUAAGUGUUAGGGGGUUUCCGCCCCUUAGUGCUGCAGCUAACGCAUUAAGCACUCCGCCUGGGGAGUACGACCGCAAGGUUGAAACUCAAAGGAAUUGACGGGGACCCGCACAAGCGGUGGAGCAUGUGGUUUAAUUCGAAGCAACGCGAAGAACCUUACCAAAUCUUGACAUCCUUUGACAACUCUAGAGAUAGAGCCUUCCCCUUCGGGGGACAAAGUGACAGGUGGUGCAUGGUUGUCGUCAGCUCGUGUCGUGAGAUGUUGGGUUAAGUCCCGCAACGAGCGCAACCCUUAAGCUUAGUUGCCAUCAUUAAGUUGGGCACUCUAAGUUGACUGCCGGUGACAAACCGGAGGAGGGUGGGGAUGACGUCAAAUCAUCAUGCCCCUUAUGAUUUGGGCUACACACGUGCUACAAUGGACAAUACAAAGGGCAGCGAAACCGCGAGGUCAAGCAAAUCCCAUAAAGUUGUUCUCAGUUCGGAUUGUAGUCUGCAACUCGACUACAUGAAGCUGGAAUCGCUAGUAAUCGUAGAUCAGCAUGCUACGGUGAAUACGUUCCCGGGUCU
rnacentral:rRNA from 1 species